AACCUUUUUCACCCUUGACUCUGUUCACAAGAAUGGCUUUUUUAAAAAAAUAACAACAAUACAACCACCACCAUCUUACUGAUUUUAAUAAUACACUUAUUAAUAAUACAUUCAGUCCCACAUAAAGUAGAAUUUAUUUUUUUUAGAUGUUAUUGUGUUAUAAAAAGUUAACAUUAAACUCCACAAUGAAUAUACUAAAGGAAAAUUCAUGAUGAGAGAUACUUGUGAAUUUUCUGUGUAGAAAGACAACAUAAAAUAAAUAAGAAUACGUUGAAUAUCUUCUCUGUCUGAAGCUAAAAAGGACUAGGCCUCACCAGAAGCUGGAUGAGAAAUUUGCUGGGAACUCGCACUGUACUGAGCCCCUAGGAGGAAAGGCAGAACACUAAUGUAACAAAUAAGUGAAAUACUACCCCACUGGAAAAACAAUAACAAAUUUCCAUUAAUCUUAAUAGAGUCAGAAUUGUGUCUCUUAUCAGUUUUGCUAUGUAGAUAUAGGAUUAAGUUUUCAAAAAGGCCCUAGGAUAACAGAGUAUUCUGUCUUUAUCCCUUCUGGCUGUGCUAGGGUAAUCCAGGACUGAUAGCAUGAGUGAAUGAUACCCCCUCGUCAACAAAAGCUGUACUGUGUUUCCAUCUGUGGCAAUUUGGCACUUCUCUUUGAGGCUGAAAGCAGCACAGAAAAGAAGUGUUAGGAAUUGCUUUUACCCCCUUUGGUAUCCGACGAAGAAAGGUAACAUUAACUUGAAUAUUGAAAAUAAUUAAGAAGUUAUUAAAACUUCUAAAUGCUGUGUGGUUGUUAUAAUGCUGUUAGGGUUUGUUUGUUUGUUUGUUUGUUUGUUUGUUUGUUUUUUAAAAAGACUGUGUGUAUU
rnacentral:lncRNA from 1 species